rnacentral:rRNA from 1 species
UACGUAGGGUGCGAGCGUUGUCCGGAAUUAUUGGGCGUAAAGAGCUUGUAGGCGGUUUGUCGCGUCUGCUGUGAAAAUCCGGGGCUCAACCCCGGACUUGCAGUGGGUACGGGCAGACUAGAGUGUGGUAGGGGAGACUGGAAUUCCUGGUGUAGCGGUGAAAUGCGCAGAUAUCUGGAGGAAUACCGGUGGCGAAGGCGGCAUCCUGGACCGACAUUGACGCUGAACGGCGAAAGCUAGGGGAGCAAACGGG